CUCUGCUGGGACUGGUUCUCACUCCCACCCGAGAGUUGGCUGUCCAAGUCAAACAGUACAUUUAUGCUGUGGCCAGGUUUACAGGAAUCAAAACUGCUAUUUUGGUUGGUGGAAUGUCGACGCAGAAACAGCAGAGGAUGCUCAGCUGCUAUCCUGAGAUUGUGGUGGCCACUCCCAGCUGGCUGCGGGAGCUUGUGAAAGAAAAGCACUCUCAUUUGAGCAGCUCAGCAGCUCAAUUUCAGCAGCUCAGGUGCCUGGUGGUAGAUGAGGCUGACUGCAUGGUUGAGAAAGACCAUUUUGCUGAGCUCUCACAGCUGCUGGAGAUGCUGAAUGACUCCAAGUACAACCCAAAGAGACAAACGCUUGUUUUUUCUGCCACCCUGACCUUGAUACAUCAAGCUUCUGCUCGAAUCCUUCAUAAGAAGCACGCCAAGAAGAUGGACAAGACAGCCAUACUUGAUCUCAUGCAGAGGACUGGCAUGAGAGGCAAGCCCAAGGUCAUUGACCUCACAAGGCAUGAGGCCACGGUUGAGUCGUUGACAGAGACCAAGAUCUAUUGUGAGACUGAUGAGAAAGACUUCUUCCUGUACUACUUCCUGAUUCAGUACCCAGUCUGCACCCUGGUGUUUGCCAACAGCAUUUCUUGCAUCAAACGUCUCUCUGGGCUCCUCAAAGUCCGGGACAUCAUGCCAUUGACCUUGCAUGCCUGUAUGCACCAGAGGCAGAGACUCAGACACCUGGAGCAGUUUGCCCGCCUGCAAGACAGUGUUCUCUUGGCAACAGAUGUGGCAGCCCGGAGUCUGAAUAUCCCUAAAGUCCAGCACGUUAUCCAUUACCAGGUCCCUCGCACCUCGGAGAUUUACAUCCACCAAAGUGGCCGAAUGGCUCGAGCCGCCAGUGAAGGCCUCAGUCUGAUGCUGAUUGGGCCUGAGGAUGUGACCAACUUUAGGAAGAUCUACAAAACCCUCAAGAGAGACGAAGACAUCCCUCUCUUCCCUGUGUAGACCAAGUACAUGGAUGCGGUCAAGGAGCGAAUCCGUUUAGCGCGACAGAUUGAGAAAGCCGAGUACCGGAACUUCCAGGCUUGUCUGCACAACUCGUGGAUUGAGAAGGCAGCGGCUGCCCUUGAGGUUGAGCUGGAAGAAGAGAUGUAUAAGGGAGGGAAAGCCAACCAACAGGAGGAGCGGCGGAGGCAGAAGCAGAUGAAGCUCCUGAAGAGAGAACUGAGCCGCGGGCUUGCCCAGCCGCUGAUCACCGAGGACCUGAGGACCAGGUACCCCACACCGGCGAGCAGGCCGCCCCCGCUCGCGGCCUCCCCAGGGCGUGGCAGGUCUGCCUUGAGCCGCUUCCUCAGACAGCAGAAGUCGAAGAGGGGCCCCAAAGAGCAGCAGGAACAGCCGCAGCCAAGUGCAAGUACAAGUGCAAACUGA